rnacentral:rRNA from 1 species
CGGCGGACUGGUGAGUAACGCGUGGGUGACCUGCCCUUAGGUUGGGGAUAGCCCCUAGAAAUAGGGGGUAAUACCGAAUACGGUUAUCUGGUUAUGACUGGAUAAAGAAAGGAGCUUCGGCUUCGCCUGGGGAUGGGCCCGCGUCCCAUUAGCUAGUUGGCGGGGUAAGAGCCCACCAAGGCUCUGAUGGGUAGCCGGCCUGAGAGGGUGAACGGCCACACUGGGACUGAGAUACGGCCCAG